rnacentral:misc_RNA from 1 species
AUGCUGCUGCUGCUGCUGCUGCUUAUUAUUGUUGCUAUUAUUUUGCAAUUCCUGUAACAGCAUCAUUACAUGGACACCUUUAACAUGAUGUAGUUAAAUUUUUUUCUACCUCAAAUCCUUGGCUGCAUCUUUUAGCCUUAGAACUAACACUUAGUUUUGUUGAUUCUGUCAAGUUACAAUUCAAUUACUUUUAACCAAACUUGAUUAGCCCAGUUUAUCGGACGCAGGU